rnacentral:SRP_RNA from 1 species
GCUGGGCGUGGUGGCUCAUGCCUGUAAUCCCAGCACUUUGGUAGGCUGAGGUGGGUGGAUCACCUGAGGUCAGGAGUUCGAGACCAGCCUGGCCAACAUGGUGAAAACCCAUCUCUA